rnacentral:tRNA from 1 species
AAGAUUUUAAGUUAAUAUAAACUAUUAAUUUUCAAAAUUAAAAAUAUAAAAUAUUUAAAUCUUA